GACGAACGCUGGCGGCGUGCUUUAGGCAUGCAAGUCGAACGCGAAAGCCCCUUCGGGGGUGAGUAGAGUGGCGAACGGGUGAGUAACACGUGGGUAACCUGCCCCUCGCAGGGGGAUAACCGGGGGAAACCCCGGCUAAUACCCCGUACGCUUGCUGGGGCGCAUGCUCCGGCAAGGAAAGGUAGCUUCGGCCAUCCGGCGAGGGAGGGGCCCGCGGCCCAUUAGCUAGUUGGUGGGGUAACGGCCCACCAAGGCGACGAUGGGUAGCGGGCCUCAGAGGGUGGUCAGCCACACUGGGCCUGAGACACGGCCCAGACUCCUACGGGAGGCAGCAGCCAGGAAUCUGGCGCAAUGGGCGAAAGCCUGACGCAGCAACGCCGCGUGGGCGAUGAAGGCCUGCGGGUCGUAAAGCCCUGUUGUCGGGGACGAAGGGCGAAGGGUUAAGAGCCCCUAGCCUGACGGUACCCGACGAGGAAGCCCCGGCUAACUACGUG
rnacentral:rRNA from 1 species